UGGGAGGCUAACAGGUGUUUUCUGAGGGUUGGAGCUUGGGGGUGGGGGUGGGGUGGAUUCUGUGUAUCAGGAUGGUGCUACGUUUGUUCAUCUAGGCUUUGGUGAGUGAUGCUGAUUUUUAGAGUUUUUGGUUUAUUGGGCCUUGUUUAUGGGAUGGAAUUUUAAAUAUUAACUGCUUCUCUAGCUCUCAGAUGAUUUUCGUAACAACUCAAGAAAGGUUCCACACACAUCUGUCAGGUGAAUCUGGGUUAUUCUGUGCCACAAAAUGGAUGCAUGUUUUGAGAGGUAGCAGUAGAGCAGAGGAUCAGAAACCCUGGUGCAGGUCUUGGGGAAAAAAACAAGAGACGUUUCAGAAAUUCUAAGCAUGCUUAAUAAGUUCAAGCAUCGUGUGUGUUUCUUAUUUGUCAGAGUAGGAAAAGAGUAGACAUUUUGCUCUCUAAAUGUACUGUUGUGGUGUGUGUGUGUUGCCUACAAAUGAAUAGCAUAGCAAUAUUACCAACUCGACUUCAAAACUAGUGAACCAAAAUAUCUAUGAAUCGAAAGAAAAUUAUUUGCAGAAAGAAAUGCUAUUUUCUCCUACGGAUUUUGAAGGGCACUAGAGGAUGCAGUUCUCAAAUCCCAUUGCCUCUUCCCUCAUGGACACGUGAAAUAUUAAAACCUCAGGACAAUCUGCCGCAUUGCGCAUGGGGUUGACCUGUGCGUGGCGGAGCAUUGUUUUUUCAGGAGCCAGCGGAAAAGCCUAACUCACUGUUCUCCCAAA
rnacentral:lncRNA from 1 species